GCCUGCCCAGUGACCCUGUUUAACGGCCGCGGUAUCCUAACCGUGCGAAGGUAGCGUAAUCACUUGUUCUCUAAAUGUGGACUAGUAUGAACGGCAUCACGAGGGUUAUACUGUCUCCUUUUUCUAAUCAGUGAAACUAACUUCCCCGUGAAGAGACGGGGAUAAAACUAUAAGACGAGAAGACCCUAUGGAGCUUUAAACAACAUAGCACUUGCCUCAUAAUAAAAGUCUCUGGAUCUCUUUCUCCAAGGCAAUAUGACUAUAAGUUUUUGGUUGGGGUGACCGCGGAGCAAAAUUUAACCUCCACAUUGAAAAUUUUAAGCUGAGAAUCACCUUUCUAAGCAUCAAUAUAUUGACACUAAUUGAUCCAAUACAUUUGAACAACGAACCAAGUUACCCUAGGGAUAACAGCGCA
rnacentral:rRNA from 1 species